UUCACGCUAAAUAUAUAUUAGAAUAUAUCAUAUGUGUAUAUAUUAUGUUAUUUUAUCUUAUUUGAAAUAUAGUAACACCUUUGGAUUAGAUAGUAUAUAUAUAUAUGUUUCCGUGAUUAAAAAAGUGUCCAAUAAAUUGUGAAAACAUAACCAUGUAUUUAAUCUUCAACCGUGCAGUGUAUAACAUAGCACCAUUUUUAUAUUCAUUAAAAGAAGUAAAUAAAAUAUUUUUUCUAACUUUUAAUUCAAAAAUAUAUAAUAAACAUUAUACUUGUUAUAGUCAAUCACAUGAAAAACAGCAAAGUGGUGCAUGGAAGGUAUUAUUUUUUGGCACAGAUGAAUUUGCUGUCGAAAGUUUGAAAGUCUUGUAUAAUAAAUAUAGAUCUAAGGAACUGGAACGACUAGAAAUUGUUACUGUCAAUCAAAAAAAGGAAAAUUCUGUCACAAAAUAUGCAAAAGAAAAUAAAAUUAUUGUAAAUAAAUGGCCAGUUGAAAUUAAUAAAUCAGAGUUUCAUAUAGGAAUAGUUGUUUCAUUUGGUCAUUUAAUACCAUCCAAGAUCAUAAAUGCAUUUCCACUAGGUAUGUUGAAUGUACAUAGUAGUUUAUUACCAAGAUGGAGAGGAGCAGCUCCAAUAAUUCACGCGUUAAUAAAUGGAGAUUCAAAAACUGGUGUCACAAUAAUGAAAAUAAUGCCAAAAAAAUUUGAUAUAGGAGAAAUAAUAUUGCAGAAGGCAAUAGAUAUUGAUGAACAUGAAACUCUGCCAGAAUUAUAUACAAAAUUAGCAAAACUUGGUGCAAAUCUUUUAAAAGAAACGUUUGAAAAUUUAUUUGAAUUAUUAAAAUCUGCAAGACCUCAAGAUGAAGAAAAUGUAACAUAUGCACCAAAAAUAACGUCAAAAAUAUCUUUAGUUAAUUGGAAUAAAAUGUCUGCAACAAAUGUUUAUAACUUACAUCGUGCUCUUGUGGGUUUAUACCCUUUAACUACUUCAUUUCAAAACGCAAAAAUAAAGUUAUUUGAUGUUCAUAAAAUUGAAUCAGAAUCAAUAGUAACAGAACUUGAAAGAGCAGAACCAGGAACCGUGAUAUAUAGUAAAAAUAAUAAUGCAUUGAUUAUAAAGUGUAAAGAAAACACUUUUGUUUCUGCAAAGCAAAUAACUAUACAAGAUUCUUUCUUUUAUUGAAUUAAAUUAGCUUCAAGAUAUAUUCCUAGUGACAAUUUUAGAUCAAAGAUAAAAGUAUCCAUAAAUAAGUUUUAGCCUAAUUUGUUGCUUUGGCUGCUUCAAAAUUAUACGAAGUGAUCGCAGUCCGCACAAUGCCACGAAUAGCCUCUUCUUUUGGGUGAUUUUUUAACUGGUGGAUCAAGACAGGUGAAGUGGUAGCAUUUUUUACAUUCAUCACACCUGAGAUACGAAAAAUGAUGAAUUCAUAUAUCCAGCAUAUAUUUAAGAAAUAAAUAUUUGAUAUAUUUAUGUAAACUAACAUGACGAGAUUUUGACUGGUACCAGACAUAUCACAGACAUUGCAAUGUGUUAAAAGGAACAGUAUUUGAAGGUAAAGGUGGAACAGGUGGUGGUGGUGGGAGUUUAGGUAAUGGCGGUGGUGAUGUAAUUUCAGUACUAGUAGAUGUGGCAACAAACAUUUGUGGACUUGAUUCUGAUGCUACAUCUCCUUCUGGUCUUGGAAUUGGUUUUAUCUAUUUAAUAAAAUAAUUAUAAGGUGUGUCAGGCGCGGUUGCAUUCGUUAUACUAUUAAGAUUGGCGGAAGAAUUUUUGGAUGUACUAGGCGUUGUUGGCGUUGUAGGUAAUUGUACUUCUUGUGGUGGUGUUGGUGUUGAUGUUAAAUUCAAAUCAUC